UACAGAGGGGCAAGCGUUGUUCGGAAUUACUGGGCGUAAAGGGCGCGUAGGCGGCCUGCUAAGUCAUACGUGAAAUCCCAUGGCUCAACCAUGGAACUGCGUGUGAUACUGGCGGGCUUGAAUUCGGGAGAGGGAUGCGGAAUUCCAGGUGUAGCGGUGAAAUGCGCAGAUAUCAGGAGGAACACCAGUGGCGAAGGCGGGUCUCUGGGCAGUGAACUGACGCUGAGGAGCGAAAGCGUGGGGAGCGAACAGG
rnacentral:rRNA from 1 species